UUAAUAAAUUAUAAAUUUAUUAAUAUAAGUAUAUAUACAUAUUUAUUUAUAAAAGUAAUUUUUUGUUUAAGUAUAAUUUAGAAUUAAUUUAUUUUUUUAUAGAGUAAUAGUACUGAAAAGGAAAUAGUUUAAUUAAUUUUUAAGUAAAUUUAUUAUUGUACCUUUUGUAUCAGGGUAAAUUUAUUAAUUAUAAUCUAUUUUAAUUUCCCGAAUGUAAAUGAUUUAAUAAUUAAUGUUAGUUAGUGUUGUAUAUUUAUUAAUAAUUAAUUAUUAGUAGUGAAAUAUUAAUCGUAUUUACUGAUAUCUGGUUACUUAAGAUUAAAUUUAAUUUUUCAUUAUUUUAGUUUUAAUUAUAAUUAUAUUUAACUAAAUUUUUUUAAUGUUAUAUAAAUGGGGAUAAUCUUAUUUAUAAAUAAUAAUUUUUUUUUCAAAAUAAUUUUUGUAGGCUUAAAAUUAGCUUCCAUUUAAAUUCGUAAUUGUUUAUUUUAAUUUAAUUUAAAUUUAAUUAAAUUUUAUUUUUUAUUAAGUUUUAUUUUUUAAUUUUAAUAUUUAUUAAUAAUGAUUUAAUUAGUAUAAUUUUUAGUAAAUUUAUAAGAACUCGGCAAAAUUAUUUUCACCUGUUUACCAAAAACAUGUUUUUUAGAAUUUAUUUUAAAGAUUUAAUCUGCCCAAUGAUUAAUUUUAAUGGCCGCAGUAUUUUGACUGUGCAAAGGUAGCAUAAUAAUUAGUCUUUUAAUUGGAGUCUGGAAUGAAUGAUUGGAUGAGAAAUAAACUUUUUUUAAUAUUAUAUUAUAAUUUAAUUUUUAAGUGAAAAAGCUUAAAUUUUUCUAUGGGACGAUAAGACCCUAUAGAACUUUAAAUUUAUUUAUUAUAUAUAUAUAUUAUUUUGUAGUAAAAAAAAUUAUAAUUAAAUAAAAUUUUUUAUUGGGGUGAUAGAAUAAUACUUAAAACUUUUUCUUAUCUUUUCAUAAAUUUAUGUGUUAUUGAUCUUAUUAUAUUGAUUAAAAGAUUUAGUUACCUUAGGGAUAACAGCGUAAUUCUAUUGGAGAGUUCAAAUUAAUAAUAGAGUUUGCGACCUCGAUGUUGGAUUAAGAAAAACCAAAGGGGUAGAUUUUUUUGUUUUAGGUCUGUUCGACCUUUAAAUUCUUACAUGAUCUGAGUUCAAACCGGUGUAAGCCAGGUUGGUUUCUAUCUUUAGAUAAUAAAAAUUUAUUUUAGUACGAAAGGACCAUAUUUAAAUAUUUAAAAAAAUUAAUUUUGAAAUUUAUU
rnacentral:rRNA from 1 species